rnacentral:rRNA from 1 species
ACGGGAGGCAGCAGUGGGGAAUAUUGGGCAAUGGGGGAAACCCUGACCCAGCAACGCCGCGUGAAGGAAGAAGGCUUUCGGGUUGUAAACUUCUUUUACCAGGGACGAAGGACGUGACGGUACCUGGAGAACAAGCCACGGAUAACUACGUGCCAGCAGCCGCGGUAAUACGUAGGUGGCAAGCGUUGUCCGGAUUUACCGGGUGUAAAGGGCGUGUAGGCGGAGAUGCAAGUCAGAAGUGAAAUCUCUGGGCUUAACCCAGAAACUGCGUUUGAAACUGUAUCCCUUGAGUAUCGGAGAGGCAGGCGGAAUGCCUAGUGUAGCGGUGAAAUGCGUAGAUAUUAGGAGGAACACCAGUGGCGAAGGCGGCCUGCUGGACGACAACUGUCGCUGAGGCGCGAUAGCGUGGGGAGCAAACAGGAUUAGAUACCCUGGUA